AUUAGUCCUACAGUUUUUUCUUCACUACAAGCAUACAAAAUCUAUAUAUAUAUAGAAUAGGAGAAGCAAGUGGAUGAUAUCUUCUUCGUUCUUCGUUCUCCGUUCAGUAAGAUUCCACUAAUUAAUCUUUGCUUUCAAUACCUUUCUCCGUUCGUAUACGGUUAUCAGACAAUUUGAGUGAAGGUAAAAUUUCUGCAAGUUUGUCGAAUUUCCGGCGAAUCACCUUCUCUUACAGUAAGUUAUUUCCGCUUCCUCUAUCUUCGUUGCAAAUUGAAAGUUGUAAUUUAAAAGUACUAGUACUUAAUUUAAUAUACUCCUUUACUUGGGUAUUUUAUUCCAUCAUCAUAGAAAAGGCUUUUCAAAUUUUAAGUUGAACAGACUUUUUUCUCUCUGUUCCCCAAUUUUAUCAUUAAUACAGAUCUGUAAGUUCUUUGUUUUUUUCUAUCUUCUUCCUGUGUUUGCAGUGCUUAUUGGUUUGAGAAGUUCUUCUCUUUUCCCUUGGUUUAACCCUAGAAGAUCUAUUUCCCCUCUAAUAUUCUCAACUGCUGUUGGGUUUCGAUUGUUCUCUCUAGAAUCCAGGUUUAGGUGAUCACACUACACUGUCACUUUGUUGUGCUGAUCCAUGUGCUCGCAUUUUCCAUCCCAAGACAGCUCCGAGAACUUAUUUCUUUUCUUGCACAGUGUCUCUAACUUUAUUGAUCUUUCCUUAGAAGUGAUUUCUUAAUCCUGUGGUUGUAUAAAAAAAUCUAACUUUUUGGUUGAAAUAAUCAGUUCUAAAUCCAGCGAUUUUCUUGAUUUUCUCACUUUAUAGAUUAAUUUAUUCAUUUAAAGUCUCAAUCUUUAUUUUAAAAAGCCUUUUUCUUCUUCUUGAUAGUACUAUCGUUCAGGAAAAAAAUAUAGUUUUACCUCAUUUUUUUAUUCAAAUUAUUCGCUCCAAACAUAAGGUGGAUGUGAGUCUUUUCAUUUUCUUUUCUUCCUAUUCUCUCUUCUGCUUUUUGUGGGUGUGUAGGGGCUUGUUCUGUUUUCUUGGACAGGUGCCUUAUUUUUCCGGUGAGGAUUUCCGGCAAGCUACAGUACUUCCAGCGACUCCUGUUCACAUUUUCGGCAGGACGCAGCAGAAUUACCCGUUCCGAUAAGCUUCUGGAAAACUUGCCCCAGGUACUAAUCGCGGCGGCGAGGCCAGUUUGCGGCGUUUGGGAGUGAGGAGCUAAGUAACACCGGCCGGGACGUGCAAGAGUUGGUAGCAGUUGACCUCGGGCGCAUCAAAGCCUACUUUCAGGUUUUUCUAUCGGGAGUUGGUACUUCCCGCUCUCUUGUUUACUCUGUACACCUUUUUACGUAUUCUAGAAAGCAUUUCGUGUGAGGUUUACUAUGUUGCUAUCUAGUUUGCAUCUUUUUGCGUAUUCCGCAAUAGUGCGUGUGUGCGUCACUAUUCUCCAUAGUCGGUUGGAGGGAUAGUG
rnacentral:lncRNA from 1 species